rnacentral:rRNA from 1 species
UACGGAGGGUGCAAGGCGUUAUCCGGAUUCACUGGGUUUAAAGGGUGCGUAGGCGGGCAGGUAAGUCAGUGGUGAAAUCCUUGAGCUUAACUCGAGCAACGUGCCAUUGGAUACUAUCUGUCUUGAAGUAUUGUGGAGGUAAGCGGAAUAUGUCAUGUAGCGGUGAAAUGCUUAGAUAUGACAUAGAACACCGAUUGCGAAGGCAGCUCACAAAGCCACUAUUGACGCUGAGGCACGAAAGCGUGGGGAUCAAACAGG